UAAAUGUUUUUUUACUUAUUGGGGAAAAGCCCAAAAAGUGUUGCAACUGUCCCUCUGGUCUCCCCUACUCACAGGGUUCACAUCAGGACCUUUAUAUCAUUGGCUCCUGCUAACCGAUCUGCCGUUGAGCCCUAGUGGAAACGCAAACGCCGCCCUCUCCCUCUGUAACUCUAUAGCUUUGAACUACACCUGUUGUUGUAAUCGGACAUAUUCAGACAUGAAAACCAGAAAACAGAACUGUCAGCACUGAGGUCUCUGCAGUCUCAACUAUUUAAAGGGAGAAGAUGAUCUUCCUCAUCCUGCUGCUCCUCUUCCUCACCCCCUGUGUCUCUGGAACAUAGCUGCAGUUUAAAGAGUCCCUCUGUGUCUCCUCCACAGGAACAUUUGUAGUGAAUGUGACUCAGACUUCCUAUCAGGCAGAGGAGAACCAGAACAUCACCCUGGAGUGGACCUUCAGCACCAGAAGAGAAACUUCCCUCAGAUCCAUUUCUACCAUCUGUCAGCUGUUAACUGAGACCAGAACCUACUUCAUGUUUCAUCUCCAUCAAGGUGUUGAAUCCCCAGAGUCUCAGGAUCCAGAGUUUGCAGGACGAGUCCAGUGGGACAAAGACGUCCUCACAGAAGGACGCCUCACACUUCAUGUCUCCAGACUCAGGACCAAUGACUCUGGGUUUUAUGUGUGUGACAUACUCGUCACACCUGGUGGGACUAACUCUAGGAGAUGUUGGCUCAACGUCACUGCAGCGACACAUUGGAACAAACCUGAGACUCCAAACACAGGAAGACGGGGAAGGAUUGGCCUCUACUCAGCGUUUGCACUGGUUUCUGUUCUACUUGCUCUAUGUGUCUGUGUGCUUCUUAACUUCAGACGACAAGCAGCCAGUGAACAGGGUUCAGACUCAGCGAGUGGACCAACUGAAGCUCUUUGACACUAUGUGUUACAUUAAUGCAAAUCUAUGAAUAUUGCACAGUCCUGCACAAUACUGACUCUUUGAAAUCGGCCACGGUCUGACACUUUACUUCGGGUAUACUGUACAUCUUAUCUUUCUUUCAUUAAGAGAUCAACUAAAAUGACCAAAUGUGAUUUCUGAGAGAGGCAUUGAAUCCCCAGAGUCUCAGGAUCCAGAGUUUGCAGGACGAGUCCAGUGGGACAAAGACGUCCUCACAGAAGGACGCCUCACACUUCAUGUCUCCAGACUCAGGACCAAUGACUCUGGGUUUUAUGUGUGUGACAUACUCGUCACACCUGAUGGGAGGAACUCUAGGAAUUGCUGGCUCAACGUCACUGCUGCUGAAGAGCUCCAACCUCAGAGACCAGAGAGUUGGACAGGUGUUUGGGUUACUGUUGGAGUGUCAGCAGCUGUUCUGGUUUUCUUUGUUGUCAGCAUUUGGAAAGUUUGUAUUCCUAGAUAUGAGAGAAGAACCCACAAUGCAGUCAUACAGAUGGAGAGUUUAUCAGAGAAACAAACCAUCAGGACUUACAUAUCUCCGUCUGAAUCUGAGCAUAAAGUGAGACUCUCCAACAUCUGAUUUAAGAGUCAGAAAGGACCUCAGUGUAACCUCUGUAAAGUGUCAUAUUUAUAUGUAUUUAUUUCAGUCAUUACUGUGAGUGUUAUCAUUCAGCUGUAAGGUCAUCAAACCCUUUGUUUACUGAUGGAUAUUGUUACCAUGCUGCACUUAAUGUCAUUCUCAAAUGUUACACAUUAUAAAUACAUCAAUUUUAUUUACUUUUUGACUUAAAAGUGACACAACCUGCAUUGAAUGUCCUACAGGAGGAAAUAUUUGGAAAUGUCGUAUUGGAUCGACUUCAAAGUGUUAAAAUGCUUUAUUGCUAGUUAUUAUAAUAAAGGUGUUUAUUCUUUCA